rnacentral:rRNA from 1 species
CUCAUGAUGAACGCUAGCUACAGGCUUAACACAUGCAAGUCGAGGGGCAUCAGGAAGAAAGCUUGCUUUCUUUGCUGGCGACCGGCGCACGGGUGAGUAACACGUAUCCAACCUGCCCCUUACUCGGGGAUAGCCUUUCGAAAGAAAGAUUAAUACCCGAUGGCAUAAUGAUUCCGCAUGGUUUCAUUAUUAAAGGAUUCCGGUAAAGGAUGGGGAUGCGUUCCAUUAGGUUGUUGGUGAGGUAACGGCUCACCAAGCCUUCGAUGGAUAGGGGUUCUGAGAGGAAGGUCCCCCACAUUGGAACUGAGACACGGUCCAAACUCCUACGGGAGGCAGCAGUGAGGAAUAUUGGUCAAUGGGCGCUAGCCUGAACCAGCCAAGUAGCGUGAAGGAUGAAGGCUCUAUGGGUCGUAAACUUCUUUUAUAUAAGAAUAAAGUGCAGUAUGUAUACUGUUUUGUAUGUAUUAUAUGAAUAAGGAUCGGCUAACUCCGUGCCAGCAGCCGCGGUAAUACGGAGGAUCCGAGCGUUAUCCGGAUUUAUUGGGUUUAAAGGGAGCGUAGGUGGACUGGCAAGUCAGUUGUGAAAGUUUGCGGCUCAACCGUAAAAUUGCAGUUGAUACUGUCAGUCUUGAGUACAGUAGAGGUGGGCGGGAAUUCGUGGUGUAGCGGUGAAAUGCUUAGAUAUCACGAAGAACUCCGAUUGCGAAGGCAGCUCACUGGACUGCAACUGACACUGAUGCUCGAAAGUGUGGGUAUCAAACAGGAUUAGAUACCCUGGUAGUCCACACAGUAAACGAUGAAUACUCGCUGUUUGCGAUAUACAGUAAGCGGCCAAGCGAAAGCAUUAAGUAUUCCACCUGGGGAGUACGCCGGCAACGGUGAAACUCAAAGGAAUUGACGGGGGCCCGCACAAGCGGAGGAACAUGUGGUUUAAUUCGAUGAUACGCGAGGAACCUUACCCGGGCUUAAAUUGCAGUGGAAUGAUGUGGAAACAUGUCAGUGAGCAAUCACCGCUGUGAAGGUGCUGCAUGGUUGUCGUCAGCUCGUGCCGUGAGGUGUCGGCUUAAGUGCCAUAACGAGCGCAACCCUUAUCUUUAGUUACUAACAGGUUAUGCUGAGGACUCUAGAGAGACUGCCGUCGUAAGAUGUGAGGAAGGUGGGGAUGACGUCAAAUCAGCACGGCCCUUACGUCCGGGGCUACACACGUGUUACAAUGGGGGGUACAGAAGGCAGCUAGCGGGUGACCGUAUGCUAAUCCCAAAAGCCUCUCUCAGUUCGGAUCGAAGUCUGCAACCCGACUUCGUGAAGCUGGAUUCGCUAGUAAUCGCGCAUCAGCCACGGCGCGGUGAAUACGUUCCCGGGCCUUGUACACACCGCCCGUCAAGCCAUGGGAGCCGGGGGUACAUGAAGUACGUAACCGCAAGGAUCGUCCUAGGGUA